rnacentral:rRNA from 1 species
UACGUAGGGGGCAAGCGUUGUCCGGAAUCAUUGGGCGUAAAGAGCGUGUAGGCGGCUCGGUAAGUCCGCUGUGAAAGUCCAGGGCUCAACCCUGGAAUGCCGGUGGAAACUGUCGGGCUAGAGUCCGGAAGAGGCGAGUGGAAUUCCUGGUGUAGCGGUGAAAUGCGCAGAUAUAACUUGGAACACCAAUGGCGAAAGCAGUUUCUGGACGGAUACUGACGCUCAUGUUCGAAAGCCAAGG